rnacentral:rRNA from 1 species
GGACGAAAGUCUGACGGAGCAACGCCGCGUGAACGAUGAAGGCUUUCGGGUCGUAAAGUUCUGUUGUCAGGGAAGAACAAGUACCGGAGUAACUGCCGGUACCUUGACGGUACCUGACCAGAAAGCCACGGCUAACUACGUGCCAGCAGCCGCGGUAAUACGUAGGUGGCAAGCGUUGUCCGGAAUUAUUGGGCGUAAAGCGCGCGCAGGCGGUUCCUUAAGUCUGAUGUGAAAGCCCCCGGCUCAACCGGGGAGGGUCAUUGGAAACUGGGGAACUUGAGUGCAGAAGAGGAGAGCGGAAUUCCACGUGUAGCGGUGAAAUGCGUAGAGAUGUGGAGGAACACCAGUGGCGAAGGCGGCUCUCUGGUCUGUAACUGACGCUGAGGCGCGAAAGCGUGGGGAGCGAACAGGAUUAGAUACCCUGGUAGUCCACGCCGUAAACGAUGAGUGCUAAGUGUUAGAGGGUUUCCGCCCUUUACUGCUGCAGCAAACGCAUUAUUCACUCCGCCUGGGGAGUACGGCCACAAGGCUGAAACUCAAAGGAAUUGACGGGCGCC